AUGGAGUCAGCUGAGGGGGUGGCUGCUAAACCAGGCGACAACCGCAGCGGAGACACCCCACCCAAAUGGGGGACGGACGCGCUGGAGCUUGGGGGCAGACACAUGCUGGGCCUGGGUGCUGCCGCUUCCUGCACUUUGCCGCCCCGCCCCGGGCGCGCACACUUGGGGGCCACGUGCCUACACCCUCACAGCGCACUCGCGGUUUCCCGGGUUUGCUGCACCGGGGCCCCGAGACCGUGGCGAGCGAAAGAGGACGGGGAGAGGAGGAGACGUCCUGCGCGGCGAGGGGCCGGCCGCCCGCGCCUUCUCCUACGGCGGCGCUCGGCAGGCGGGGUGGGCACUGCGUCCUGGGCUGCUGGCAGAGGGGGCCGGGGGCGCGGGCAGGUCCAUUUCCCAGCCAGGCCCUCCUCCUCGGACCACCCGGCCACGUUGUGCUCCGAUUUCCAACUCCCACCCCCGCCACGCCCCUGUCUGACACAACCAGCCCUGCCCUUCCGCACCCUGCCUUUCACCCUGACCACAUGCCACGGACGAGGCGCCAGCCAGGAAGAAUCGCGGUGGCACAGCCACCUGGAGAGACAGAAUAGCAUGGCACCUAUACCAGUUACUUAAAGAUCCAGAAUUGGCCUGUGGAAUACAGGCCUGGCACCUCUGGUCAUGCUCUUGGAAGAAAGUGCUAAAUUUGGAGAAACAAAGAGAUUCGUUGCACAGUCGCCUUUUGGCCAGACGUUGCUGUGUUUCUUAGUGUCAGGAUAUUCAGUCCUUGGCAGGGGCAGCAGAAUUUAUUGUUUUGUAAACAAAACCUGGCAUUGGACUUAUAAACAACAAAGCUCACUGACUUAAAAUGAAGCAUGCAUUGUUUUCCAGAACCUUCCUGGACCUAGAGAAUGGUAAAUUAUGGCCCGUGCUCAUGGAUGAUGAGUUGAGACACUGCACUAAUAACUGUUUAUCUUGCCCACAAAAAUCACCUUCUGCAUUGGGCUGGAAUCCUAGGAUGUGAUCAGAAUUUCUCCACAGCCGGUACAGUGACACUGAUGUCCUUUCUUUCUUCCCAGUCUCUCGUGGGUUUCGGCGUUGGCACGCACAUAUUCCCAGUGUCAAGCCCAGGGAGGCAUACGGCAGGUGCUCAGAAAUGGCCGCCGAAGGAAUGAAUGAAAGAGGUUGUUGCACCCGGCAACAGAGUGUGUCGAGGGCUUUCUGUUACUGCCCGUCCAGAUCCACUCCUCAGCCUUCUCUAGUCUACUCUGUACUCUAUCGCUUGUAUCACGGGGUCCCAUGCCCUCUGGCUUCUGCUGGGUUUGGCCAAUGGAAGCACUAAGUGGGACCAGAAGGUGGAGGCGAGUGGGGUCGGGGGAGUAUUUAUCCACCCACCAGAGUGGCUUCAGGUUGGCUGCGUCCCUUUACUGAAGUCGUCAGUUCCUGUAACAGUCCCUCUCCUGCACUGCCCUCCCCUCUUCUACCUCCAGGCCCGGGGAUGGUAACAGCUCCUUGGAAAUGCUAGUCCCAGGGAGCCACAUGGAUCUGCGGACCUGGGCUGGUUCCCUGAACCCAAUCGAUACCCUCGAAAACCGUCCCUUUGUCAACCUCUCCUCAGUCACCCUGCCUGACUGUGCCUCUGUUUCCUGCCAAGACUCUGCCUGCUACAGGAGUGGAUGUAUCAGAUGGGUCUUCACUGCAAACUCAAUGGAACAAUGUGUGCAUAUUUCAGAAGGCACACAGGUGACCUACUUUAAAAAAUUACUGAUUUUUCAGUUCAGUCUUCCAGUUAGCGCAGCUGGCCAGCCUCAGAAGCAAUCAAUCACUCUUUAUCCCCCAAACAACAGAAGGAGUCCCUACUCCCUCACUCGGCUCUGGCGCUGGCUCUGGCUCCGGCUCUGGUUCAUCUCUCUCCCUGCUCAGCCCCAGGCCUCAUCCUGCAGAUGGUCUUGUGCUUCCUGUCCGUGAGCCUCCCAACUCCUCAUUCGGGUAGACAACUUUCCUUCUGAGAAAUACUCCCCAACGCACGGAGUCAACCCCCCCACCUGUCCAUCCCCUCCCCUGGCCAGUUUCAGGCAGCAAGAAGCUGGUUUUUCUGAGAAUCAUCUUUUCUGGCAUCAACCAGGCUUGGGCCUGAGUGAUUACUCAGACAAGAGUGACCUGAUUAACAAUGCGACGUUGUUUCCGCUCCCAUGACAAUCCGCGGCUCUCAGACAGAAUGGGACUAAUGAGGACACCCGAAGGCGGGAAACUCUGAGGCUGGUAUAGAGUCAGAUCAAGUCUAGGCGAAGCGUGAACACACACAUCUGGAGAGCCGGGGACCCCAUUUUGCCCGCCUGGCUGGACUUCAGAUUCCUGGAGGAGGCCUUCAGGCUGGGCUUGCUCAGGAUGUGGCAUCUGGGAGAGGGGGUAGUAUCCGAAUGUCUGGCUUCCUCCCAAAUCUAUCUCUGCUUGUUAGAGCUCUGGCAAGUUAUGCAGCCUCCCUUGGCCUCAGUUUCUUCUUCUUUAAAAUGGGGUUAUUAAUAUGAAGAUCGGUACAAGAAUGAAAUACAAAGAUGCUCUGAAGAAAUUGGGUUGACAGAGGAAAACCCAGAACCCAGCCUAGCCAGUGCAAAGGGCACAGGUUAUGCAGGGAAGGCAGGAAAGGUGGCUUGUUUGGCUGACUGAAAUAGGGGCCGGGCUGGGGCUGUUCAACCAGCCUUGACCAGCCUCUGCCUUGGCUUCCUGCUUAUGGAGAAUGGAUCAAAUCCUGGCUCUUUACACUGGCUAUGUGACCUUGGAAAGUUACAUAACCUCUCUGCCUCAGUUUCCUUAUCUGUGAAAUGGGGAUAUUAAUAGUACCGCAUAGGGUUGUUGUGAGUAUUCAAUGAGUUAGUAAGUAUAAAACUCUUAGAACUACUCGAGUGAAUGCUCAACAAAUGUUGGGGGCGGCCUCUUCAUCCAGUGCCUGUGGAAAGCUUGUGUGCUCCCCUCUUGCUCAAGUAUGCAGACUUCUGUGGUGGUGAGCUGGGGAACUGUGCUUUACUUUCUCCGAUGUAUAAGCUAUGCCUCGGGGCCGGCCCGGUGGCUCAGGCGGUUAGACCUCCAUGCUCCUAACUCCGAAGGCUACCGGUUCGAUUCCCACAUGGGCCAGUGGGCUCUCAACCACAGGUUGCCAGCUCAAUUCCUAGAGUCCUGCAAGGGAUGGUGGGCAGCGCCCCCUGCAACUAAGAUUGAACAUGGCACCUUGAGCUGAGCUGCCUCCUGGAUGGCUCAGGUGGUUGGAGCGCAGGCUCUCAACCACAAGGUUGUCUGGUUCGACUCCCGCAAGGGAUGGUGGGCUGUGCCCCCUGCAACUAGCAACGGCAACUGGACCUGGAGCUGAGCUGCGCCCUCCACAACUAAGACUGAAAGGACAAUGACUUGACUUGGAAAAAAAAAGUCCUGGAAGUACACAUUGUUCCCCAAAAAAGUCCUGUUCCCCUCCCCCA
ensembl:lncRNA